UACGAAGGGGGCUAGCGUUGCUCGGAAUCACUGGGCGUAAAGCGCACGUAGGCGGUUCUUUAAGUCAGGGGUGAAAUCCUGGAGCUCAACUCCAGAACUGCCUUUGAUACUGGGGAUCUCGAGUCCGGAAGAGGUGAGUGGAACUCCGAGUGUAGAGGUGAAAUUCGUAGAUAUUCGGAAGAACACCAGUGGCGAAGGCGGCUCACUGGUCCGGUACUGACGCUGAGGUGCGAAAGCGUGGGGAGCAAACAGG
rnacentral:rRNA from 1 species